CUGGAAACGGUGGCUAAUACCGCAUAACGUCGCAAGACCAAAGAGGGGGACCUUCGGGCCUCUUGCCAUCAGAUGUGCCCAGAUGGGAUUAGCUUGUUGGUGAGGUAACGGCUCACCAAGGCGACGAUCCCUAGCUGGUCUGAGAGGAUGACCAGCCACACUGGAACUGAGACACGGUCCAGACUCCUACGGGAGGCAGCAGUGGGGAAUAUUGCACAAUGGGCGCAAGCCUGAUGCAGCCAUGCCGCGUGUAUGAAGAAGGCCUUCGGGUUGUAAAGUACUUUCAGCGGGGAGGAAGGUGUUGUGGUUAAUAACCGCAGCAAUUGACGUUACCCGCAGAAGAAGCACCGGCUAACUCCGUGCCAGCAGCCGCGGUAAUACGGAGGGUGCAAGCGUUAAUCGGAAUUACUGGGCGUAAAGCGCACGCAGGCGGUCUGUCAAGUCGGAUGUGAAAUCCCCGGGCUCAACCUGGGAACUGCAUUCGAAACUGGCAGGCUUGAGUCUUGUAGAGGGGGGUAGAAUUCCAGGUGUAGCGGUGAAAUGCGUAGAGAUCUGGAGGAAUACCGGUGGCGAAGGCGGCCCCCUGGACAAAGACUGACGCUCAGGUGCGAAAGCGUGGGGAGCAAACAGGAUUAGAUACCCUGGUAGUCCACGCCGUAAACGAUGUCUACUUGGAGGUUGUGCCCUUGAGGCGUGGCUUCCGGAGCUAACGCGUUAAGUAGACCGCCUGGGGAGUACGGCCGCAAGGUUAAAACUCAAAUGAAUUGACGGGGGCCCGCACAAGCGGUGGAGCAUGUGGUUUAAUUCGAUGCAACGCGAAGAACCUUACCUGGUCUUGACAUCCACAGAACUUUCCAGAGAUGGAUUGGUGCCUUCGGGAACUGUGAGACAGGUGCUGCAUGGCUGUCGUCAGCUCGUGUUGUGAAAUGUUGGGUUAAGUCCCGCAACGAGCGCAAC
rnacentral:rRNA from 1 species